rnacentral:rRNA from 1 species
AUACAUGCGAGUCGAGCGAACGGACGAGAAGCUUGCUUCUCUGAUGUUAGCGGCGGACGGGUGAGUAACACGUGGAUAACCUACCUAUAAGACUGGGAUAACUUCGGGAAACCGGAGCUAAUACCGGAUAAUAUUUUGAACCGCAUGGUUCAAAAGUAAAAGACGGUCUUGCUGUCACUUAUAGAUGGAUCCGCGCUGCAUUAGCUAGUUGGUAAGGUAACGGCUUACCAAGGCAACGAUGCAUAGCCGACCUGAGAGGGUGAUCGGCCACACUGGAACUGAGACACGGUCCAGACUCCUACGGGAGGCAGCAGUAGGGAAUCUUCCGCAAUGGGCGAAAGCCUGACGGAGCAACGCCGCGUGAGUGAUGAAGGUCUUCGGAUCGUAAAACUCUGUUAUUAGGGAAGAACAUAUGUGUAAGUAACUGUGCACAUCUUGACGGUACCUAAUCAGAAAGCCACGGCUAACUACGUGCCAGCAGCCGCGGUAAUACGCAGGUGGCAAGCGUUAUCCGGAAUUAUUGGGCGUAAAGCGCGCGUAGGCGGUUUUUUAAGUCUGAUGUGAAAGCCCACGGCUCAACCGUGGAGGGUCAUUGGAAACUGGAAAACUUGAGUGCAGAAGAGGAAAGUGGAAUUCCAUGUGUAGCGGUGAAAUGCGCAGAGAUAUGGAGGAACACCAGUGGCGAAGGCGACUUUCUGGUCUGUA